CCUACGGGUGGCAGCAGUGAGGAAUAUUGGUCAAUGGGCUUACGCCUGAACCAGCCAAGUCGCGUGAGGGAAGACUGCCCUAUGGGUUGUAAACCUCUUUUGUCAGGGAGCAACGCCGGCUACGUGUAGCCGGACUGAGAGUACCUGAAGAAAAAGCAUCGGCUAACUCCGUGCCAGCAGCCGCGGUAAUACGGAGGAUGCGAGCGUUAUCCGGAUUUAUUGGGUUUAAAGGGUGCGUAGGCGGAAUGUCAAGUCAGCGGUAAAAUUUCGGGGCUCAACCCCGUCGUGCCGUUGAAACUGGCGUUCUUGAGUGAGCGAGAAGUAUGCGGAAUGCGUGGUGUAGCGGUGAAAUGCAUAGAUAUCACGCAGAACUCCGAUUGCGAAGGCAGCAUACCGGCGCUCAACUGACGCUCAUGCACGAAAGCGUGGGUAUCGAACAGGAUUAGAUACCCGAGUAGUC
rnacentral:rRNA from 1 species